rnacentral:tRNA from 1 species
GGUUGUGGCUCAGUAGUAGAGCACUCGCCUAGCAUGUGCAAGGCCCUGGGUUCAAUCCUCAGCACCA